CAUAGAGUCAGAGUUGGGGGGUGGAUCCUGUGUCUUCCCACUAGGUCCCACUUCAUAGUUUCCAUCAUCUCUAUAACAGCACAUUGAGGAUCCAUCAACAAAUGGCCCCCAUGGGCAGACAGACCAUAUCCAAUAGAUGCCUACAACCAAAGUUAAGUUCCAGUCAGUCAUUAAAAGUGAGGUACAAAGUUUUACCCACAAGAAGAUAUACUCUAUUCUGAAAGAAUUUGAAUUUCCAAGCCCAGACCUUACAGUGGGAACCACAAUCAUGCUUUUGGAAAACCUAAAUGCAGUAGAAAUAAUUGGAUUCCAGAAUGGCAGGGACAAGUAGUGGGACUCAACUGCCAAAGGCAAGAUACAGAAUCAUAAAAUGAAUGAAGCACCUGAUGGUCAAGGAAGAGAAAAGAAGAUGAAAGGAUGAAUGCGUAUUUGUUUCAUAAUCACUAACAGGUGUUAAUAAAACGUAUUGU
rnacentral:lncRNA from 1 species